CAGCAGCCGCGGGAAUACGAAGGGGGCUAGCGUUGCUCGGAAUCACUGGGCGUAAAGGGUGCGUAGGCGGUCUUUAAGUCAGGGGUGAAACCCAGGAGCUCAACUCCAGAACUGCCUUUGAUACUGAGGAUCUUGAGUUCGGGAGAGGUGAGUGGAACUGCGAGUGUAGAGGUGAAAUUCGUAGAUAUUCGCAAGAACACCAGUGGCGAAGGCGGCUCACUGGCCCGAUACUGACGCUGAGGCACGAAAGCGUGGGGAGCAAACAGGAUUAGAUACCCGGGUAGUCCCUGUCUCUUAUACA
rnacentral:rRNA from 1 species